CCGGCCCGCGGGCCAAAUGGGGCCGGGAGGGAGGCCUCUCGGCCGGAUUAAAAAAAUAAAAAAAAUUCCCCCAUUCAUUCUCAAUGGCGGAGGUACCAGGGGUGAAGUUGGAGGUACCAAGGGUCCGGCUGGACCUACCAGGGGUCCGGCUGGGGGUACCAGGGGUCGGCAGUACUGCCGGUGGCCGCCAGGCGGCGGUGUAGUAGGCAAAAGGCCGUUGGAACUAUUCCCCAUUCAUUUUCAAAGGCGGAGGUACCAGGGGUGAGGUUGGAGGUACCAGGGGUGCAGCUGCGGGUACCAGGGGUGAGG